rnacentral:lncRNA from 1 species
GUGGUGGGCUGGUAGCUGGAGCCACAAAAUUAAGCUUUAAUGAAGCCAGAGUCUGCCCUGCAGUAAUGAGCUAUCAAGUGUGCCCCACAGAGCAACAGAAGCAAUUACUAUCAGCUGGUUCGGUGCCUGCAGUGUUGUUGACACGUUCCAGACAUACAAGUACGACAAAUAAUUUUUACAAGGCUGCCUAUAAAAAAUAAAUAGCAUAUCUGAGAUCACUUUGAUUUAGUGAGGCUGGGAGAUUUUAAACACUGGUAUGCACUGUGUAUUCAGUGUAACUCUGUAGAUCAGUAAUAACGAAGUUCAUUUUUUUGACUUGUGCUUGGUCUGACCAAAACUUGCUUCAUCCAGUUGCUCAGUACAGGACACCUGAAGUUAGUAAAAUGGGGGUAUCCCUGGUCAUAGAAGCCCUUAAGAUUGUAUGGUUUUCCCCAUUUUAGAGUUUGAUCCUUGUCUCACUCAAUCACAGCCUCCUACCUGUACAGUAGCAAAGACUGAAGAAACCACUGUCAGCUUACUUUCAUGAGAGGGAAAUAUGGCUCAAGUCUUUCUAUGUCUGUGUUAUUCUCAGAUCCCUACUAAAGCCAAUCCAAAAUUAAAACCAAACUAAUU